rnacentral:rRNA from 1 species
CUAACACAUGCAAGUCGAGCGAGGUAUUUAUACCUAGCGGCGGACGGGUGAGUAACACGUGGGUAACCUGCCUCAGAGAGGGGAAUAGCCUUCCGAAAGGAAGAUUAAUACCGCAUAAUAUAUACUUUUAGCAUUAUGAGUAUAUCAAAGGAGAAAUCCGCUUUGAGAGGGCCCGCGGCGCAUUNNCUAGUUGGAGAGGUAACGGCUCACCAAGGCAAC